ACAAAAGUUAUGUUUCUAUGUACUGAUGGUAGUUAUAAUUUGUGGCUUAUCUGUUUCAUAGGUUCUGGUGUCAUCACUGCUACCAAAAUUUUUAAUUAUGAAACAGAUCCAAUAAGGUUUCUUCUGAUAGUUGAUACUAGGCUGUCUAGACAUGUUUUGACCAUUAAUAUUAUUGAUGUUCCUGAAUCUCCAAACUGUACUGCUGAUCCCAGAUUUUCUUCAGGCACAGCUACCUUAGAAAUUGAUGAGAACUAUCCAUUAUUUCAGUUCAUUUAUAGAGUGACGGCCACAGAUGAGGACUUCGCAAAUGGUGAUUGGCUGAAUGUAGGUGGUGAUCAUUGUGCCAGAUGCAUUUAUCACUUCAGCGUAAAGUGCAAUCCUUUUAAAAAAGUUUUCAAGGACAGUUAAUAUAGUUUGAUAAUUAAAGACUGUAUGAAGUUUACAACCACCAGGAUGCAAUACUCAUGUUAAUAUUGAAAAUGGCAUUUUUAGAAGAAGCUAUUUUCUUGAGGCAUACAGGAAAAUUACAUGACUUCUAAUUGAGGCGGAGGACUGGGAGGAAGAUGUCAAUGCUGAGGCAAAACUGUGGCUUUGCCUUUUGGAAGCUGAUCAGAACUAUUUCUCUUUCCGAGCUAUUUCAAUGACACAUAUGAAUGUGAUUAUAUAUUUUUUGAUGUUUCAGUAUCCUAAUUACUAAGUAUUUAACCCUAAGAGACUUGCUUUUUCUCUUAAUUGAUUCAUGGUUGUAAAGUCUCUUAGAGAUUUGGCAAAAUGAAAAGAACCUAUAAAGUUUGUUUUGGAGACUUUAGCGAUGCAAUGGACUACAAAAGUCAGCAUGCUUGCUCUGCAGCUGUUCUUUUUGAACAUGUAUUGAAAUAGUUUACUACUUCUAAUGUAGUAACUCACAGUAUAAAGUAAUGGAGCACCAAAUGGCGGUGGGGUUGUCAGAUGACUUGGGCUAAAUAUGGCUUUACCACCAACUAGUGCUAUAAUACUGGGGAAGUCGCUUAAUCCCCCUUGCGUUUGAUUUUCACAAUUUUAAGAGAUAAUUUUUCCUUCCAUUAACCUUCAGUGAUAGAUGUGCCGUUGUCAGUCAAAGUAUUCAAAAUCCCUGUGGGAUACUCCAAAAAUAUUUUGUUGUGGACCAGCCAAUAUGAAAUUGUUUAGAAACACAAGACCUAUCCCAUUACAUGAUGUCUUUUCAAUAAAUUUUUUAAAAUGCUGUGGUCCAGCUGAAAGUAAUUAUUACCAUUUGUGUCAUUUUCAGAAACAUAAUAGGAACCAAACAGGUGAUUGUUUUAAAAUUCAUUGUUUUGAGAAAUAGUUCUAUUUUUAGAGGCUAGAAAUCAUAUCAGAUUACAAAAAAGCACACAGAAGUAAUUAAACUUUUCUUCAACGAAAUUUUACCUCCUUCCAAACUAAAUAGUUUUCAGAUACUUUUGAGGCUAUACUUACCUACUUUUAUGUAUUCUAAGAAGUGGCAGCAAGAUAAAUUAUAAGCUGCAUUAAUAUUUGAAAUGGUAACACUUGAAAUGGGUUUAUACCAUUAUAAUUAUUUUGUUUCUUAAAAAUGAUAAUGAGUUUAUUUUGUAUACUUUUAAUGAUAGUGAUAGUGAGUUUAUUCUACACUCUUUUAGCGUUGUAUUAAUUUGCAGAAUUAAACUAAUAUUAAAUACUUAAUAAAAAUUAAGCUUUUGGCUGGGCACGGUGGCUCAUGCCUGUAAUCCCAGUACUUUGGGAGGCCAAGGCAGGCGGAUCACAAGGUCAGGAGAUCGAGACCAUCCUGGCUAACACGGUGAAACCAUGUCUCCACUAAAAAUACAAAAAAUUAGCUGGGCAUGGUGGCAGGCGCCUGGAGUUCCAGCUACUUGGGAAGCUGAGGCAGGAGAAUGGCGUGAACCUGGGAGGCGGAGCUUGCAGUGAGCUGAGAUCACACCACUGCACUCCAGCCUGGGCGACAAAGUGAGACUCCGUUAAAAGAAAAAAAAAAAAAAGCUUUUAACAACUUAUCUUAGAAAACUGUAAAGGGUUGUUCAGUUCUAUUUAAAAAAUAGCAAACAUUUUGGUUAUGUUCAUAGGCUAAACAACCAUAUUGUUUUUCCUUUAUUCUGAUAAUGUCAGUGGUUCUAAUGCUAGUAGAUCAUAAAGAAAAACUGAAAUUAAUCAGUGUGAAAAUAGAUAACUUUCUAUAUAUUUGCCCCAGUAUCAUGUCUUAAUGAUCUUCCAUGCCUUCUCAUUUAUUCAGUCUUGAGUAAUACAUAUUUUAUUUUUCUAGUACACCAUUGAGACACAGUUAUCUGGACCAAAGAAAGGAGCAAACUCUUUUGGAGUGGAUCCUGUAAGUGGUGUUGUUAGUGUAAGAGGUGAAGAUCCCCUGGAUUUUGAUGCUGGAUAUCAUGUAAUUAAAAUGUGUAUUUAUUUUUCCAUGCAGAAUGAAACAGAAUUUGUAUCACUUUGAGUUCUUCAUGAAAAAUUAGACACCUUGUUAUUUUGAAGGAAGAUUAAUAUUUUGUGUCAUUCAUUUGUGAGGAUUUCUGCAGUUAACCAAAAGCCUACAUUCAAUCUUUAUGGUUACUGGAAAUAUAGAGAUUAUGUCUUAACAUUUUAGUUCUACCAAAAAAAGUUUAUGAAAAAAACAAUUAAGUGUCAUUUUAAUCCGGGAAAACCAAAUCAGUAAAUCAUUACAAUGUAAAUCUUUCUGAACAUCAAAGAAAUGAAAGAAACUUAAAUCAGUCAAGUUUUCAUGUUGAAACUCUUAUGAUUCAUAUACCCUACCCCAUUUAGAGUGUUAACUCACUUAAGUAGCCAAGGUAAGGUUGGGCAUAAACCUUAUAGGUGAAUUUAAAACUAACAUGGUAAGAAAGAAUAGUAUAUGGUAUUUACAUGAGAAAUAUAAUUUAAGGAAAGUAUUCAGGAAUGAUUUUUCUGAGUGGAAAAUGAAUGAUAUGUAAGUAUGAACAACUGACUGGAAAGAAACCAGCUACUAUUUCUAUUGAAAUAGUAAAUUGAGAAAAUAGGUAAUUGAGAAAAUAGGAAGAAGGGAAAAAUGCGAGAGAUUAGAGUAAAAAUAGAGAAUUUGCUGCUGAUAAGAUAAUUUGAGGGAAGAGUUAAUAGUUAAAAAUCUUAACUUUCUGGCCUGAAAGAACAUAAGAAAGUCAAUGAAUUCUAUUUAAAUUUCAAUUUGAUGUGUUGUAUGUCAGAGGAUGGUGGAGAGGCCAAUGAUACAUACCUUUUAAGCAGCUUGAGUAUUAGGACUACAAUAUGAGAUAGGUUAGAUGGAAGAUAAAUGGACAUCAUGCAUAUAAACCGUUCAGCUCCACAUCUCUGAUUCUUUCUGGGCCUCUUCACUUCCUACCUUGACCAACAUUCAACCUAUCUCCUACUAAGUCCUUUAAGAUCACUUUCAUCUUUCCACUGCAUAACUCAUCGAUUCAUUAUAUGACAUCUGACAUGUAAUUACCUAUCCAAGGGACUGAAGUUUGGUACAAUCAUUGUCAGCCCUUUCCUCAGCAUGGAGUCUUAUACACUGUAGAGUUUUAUUGAAUAUCUGCUCAAAAAGGGUUUUUAGUGGAUACUUACUGCCUCGGUGGUGUUUGGUUUUUGUUUUUGUUUUCAAAAGGGCAUUUCCUGAUAUGAGUAAAUGGUUUCUAAGGGGUGAGAUGGGUGACAGGCUGAGGAGAAGAAUAUUCAAUGUUUGAUGACAUUCUCAACUGUUCAGAAAUUCCUUGUGUCAUAGAUCCCAAAGAGUAGCCCAUCUUCCUAUUUCUGGGGUUUAGCAUCAAACAGCUUGCUUUGUCAAUAGUUUCGGUGCACUGGAUGAGGCAUAUAACCAAGCUACACAGACUUUUGAGUGAAAUUUAAUGGCAUAUGAAAUGAAGCAACUUAUAAUGAAUCUAAGAAAGAUAAGUAAAUGCAAGUAAGAAAUCGCUUGUAUUUCUUUUAGCUAAUGAGAAGAAAAAUAAGAAUCUAGUUGGAGAAAACAAAACAAAAACCUAACAGGAUGCAUAUUGUGAAACUAUAUAUGUAUUACAAAGUAGCAUUUUGUAAAGUUUUAAAAAACUCUUUUCCAGGUUUUCCACCUUGUACUGAAAGCAACAGAUACAACAUGUCUGUUCUGUCAAGGAACACUAAUUAUCUUGAUUGAAACAUAAAUGAUGAGAAGCCUCAAUUUGAGUAAGCAUAUUUAUUUCAAGGUAUAUAUAUAGGAGAAUGGUUAAAAUAAACUUUUCACAUAUA
rnacentral:lncRNA from 10 species